CGGGGCGUGGCGCAGCCUGGUAGCGCGCUUGUUUUGGGUACAAGAGGCCCCCGGUUCGAUUCCGGGCGCCCCGA
rnacentral:tRNA from 4 species